rnacentral:lncRNA from 1 species
AGAAUGGAUCUGUCCUUCACUUAGAUGGUGAAGAUUGUAGGAAGAACAUGUUUUGGGGAACAGGGAGAAACGAUAAUGUAGUUUUGGACUUGUUAAGAUUGACACAUAUUAGAUAUUUAAGUGAGAAAGUUAGUAGGAUAUUGCAUAAUUAAAUCUAAAGUUUAGGGGAGACGCUGGAGCCACUUGCUACCAUACCUAAGAAAGUCCCCACUGUCAAACUUACAUAGCAAACAUGUUCAUUCAUCCAUUUUACAUGUAGGUUAAUUAGGAGGUCUUAAAAGUGUGUUUUUUAAAAGAGGAGCAGUGGGCCAUAUUCUGCAUUUGCAGAGGAGGGAGAUUUAUUUUCACAAAGUCUGGGAGUGAAGUGUUGCCCAGUAGUGUGUCCACUCAUAUCACAUUUCUCUAGCAGAAGGAAGCUGUAAUCCCUAUAAACAUGAGCGAAUUUAAAGUUCCCAUUACCCAAUUGUGACCUCAUGACCCCAUUCUGGGAAGCUGACUAAGAAAUGACUUUGAGGCUAAAGAAAUCAAACAGUUGAUAUUUGUAUGUUAUGUGACUAAAGAAAGAAAAAAUAGUCAGGCCAAGCAUAUGAAAAUAAAAAAUCGAUACAGGCUCAUGCAAGCUUCUAGUAAUGUAAGCCUAAAUUUGGCCUUAAAACAAAAACUUAUAGUAUCAAUUAGCAUUCCUAUUAUUCUUCUUGCCUACAGACUUUAAAGAAGCAGCUGUCAUUUAUUUUCAAAUGCAAAACAGAUGGAAAUUUAUGGUACCAGGGAAAUCUAUACUAAGCCAAAUAAAACACUUGCAGCAUUAUUUAGUGUAUGCAUUAUUUUUACUUCAUCACCUGCCUGAGACUCUUUGGUUUUUAUUUUUCACUUUCUGAAGAGUUAGCUAAAUUAGACAUCAAGGCUCUGAAUGGCUUUUUUUCAAUUAUCAGUGUGUUUACAUUGAAACAAAGAUAACCUCUUGGUUUGAAAGUUUUGCAAAGUCACCAAAAAACAAUGUUACUUUGGUUAAAAAUAACUCUCUAUUGAAAUGAAAUAAAUGUCAGCAUUAGAGAAAUGGAAACCAAAACUUUUUAUCAGACCUCAAGUUGAAAGGCAGGAAAUGUUAGCUGCAUUGACAGAACCCUAGGUACAGGGAGUUGGUGAAAAUAAAUAGUAUGGUUACACAGAUAAGUGACCCAGAAAAGAACUUGUUGGUUGACAUGAUUUUUAUUUAUUCUUCUAUUUUGUUGAAUGUCUGCUACAAGUAGUUGCUGGGCACGCAAGUAGUGAAAAAAACGGACAUGAUCUCUGCCUUCGUGUUGCAUAUGGAAGAAGACGUAUUAACUCAAAUAACCACUCAAAUCAACUUACAACCGUAAACUUUAAUAAGUGCUUUGGAAGAAGUCUUUCCUGGUGAAGAAACAUUUGGUUGGCUCUGAUGAUGGAGUAAGCAUGAACUAGGUCAAAAGGAUAUGGGUGGGAGCAGCUAAUGGUGGUCAGGGGACAGAAUGUUAAGUGCAAAGCCAGAAUUGUGAAGUUGUGGCAUGCCAAAGAGAGCCACUGUGUCUGCAAAAUAGAAAGUGAGAAGGAGAGUGGCUGGAGAUUACUUGGGAAUGUAGACCUUCAGGCCUCCUAAGUAAGAAUUCUGAAGAAAAAUGGAUGUCAUUGAAGUGCUUUAAUUAGGAAAAUGACAUGAUUAUAUUUUAAUUUUUAAAAGUAAAGCUGUAAUGAGGGGAACUUUCACUUCCAGUAAUGAAUUAGGCAAUUCGGCUAACACUCUUACCAAGUAAAACCACAAAAGUUGGACAAAAUAUUUUGAAAAUUACUCUGAGAGUUAACAUGACAACAUCUGGGAUAAUAUCUGGGAGAAAGAAACUCGGAGAGGUGAGUAGAGCAUUUAGAACCACUUUUCCGAAGAGGAGUCUGAGAAGCUUAAUAGAAAUUUUAACAGACUAACAAGGAUAGGGAGAUAAAACUGAAGUUCAAGGAAGGUAAAGGGAAGUGAUGUCAGGUUUUGGGUUGGGACCCAAAGGACUACAUGAGAGUAAGGGUAACAUAGAAAUAGGCCAACCCUCCUGGAGGGUUGAACCACCCACUUCAUAUUCUCUGAGGCCUUCCAACUGGAUUGAAUUAAGGUGAUGUAGGAUUGCUACUGGCCUUAAUCUCUUACCAGAAGCACCUAUAAAAAUUCCUUGAAGAAAGAUAACAUUCUUCUUGGUCUAAAACUAUUUUUACAAUGAUCCAAAUGCAAUAUCUAGCAUUCAUAAAAAAUAACCAAGAAAGCAUUCACAAACUGGUGGGACAAGUCAAAGGACAAAGAAAGCAAAUUGAAGGUCCUCCUACAGGCCAAAAUAGGGCAAUUUGAAUGAUAAAAAGAAUAAUGAUGGUAAUUCAUUAAAAAAUAGUGAAUAAAAAGAAAAUCCAUGAGUCUAUAAAAAUACUCAAAAAAAGUUGGGGGGCCUGGCAUGGUGGCUCAUGCCUGUAAUCCCAGCACUUUGGGAAGCCAAGGUGGGUGGAUCACUUGAGGCUGGGAGUUGAGACCAGCCUGGCCAAUAUGGUGAAACCCUGUCUCUAUUAAAACACAAAAAUCAGGUAGGCAUAGUGGUGUGCACCUGUAAUUCCAGCCACUUGGGAGGCUGAGACAGGAGAAUCGCUUGAACCCUGGGGGCAGAGGUUGCAGUGAGCUGAGAUCGCAGCCACUGCACUCCUGACUCUUUCUCAAAAACAAAACAAAAAAAAAAGGGAGAGGGAGGGGAUACAAAAAAAGAGGGAAAGCUUUUCUUUAUAGAAGAAUGCUAGCUAAUAAAUGUGGACAGAUUGAUAGAAUUGGAAAAUCACCAUUUUGAAUCACAAAAGUAAUAAUAAUGGUAUACGAGGUAAACUGAAGAGCCAGGGAUGGCUCUUCAUUGACAAUGAAAGGAUUAUCAAUGUAUACUAAUGCCAAUAGGUGAGAGGUUGGAAAAUAGUCAUAGUUUCCAAGUAUCUCCUUAUACAUUACUCAUUAAUAACACAAAGAGAUAAUCUGACAAUAGAGAAAUCCAACACAUAUCACAUUAACCAAAUGAUCAAACUUAAAAAUGAAUACUGAUGGUACUAAUGAACAUUACGAGCCUUCUGAUAUUAAUGAAUAAGGGAGGACAAACCAUCAUCUAUGUAGUGUUGUUGCCAAAAUAUUUAAUCUAAACCUAAGCAUUAGACAAAUCCAAAUAGUAAGACAUUCUACAGAACUCUUUAAAAACUAUCAAUGUCAUGAGAGGGGAAAAAAAGGCAAUGGAACUAUUCUAGAUGAAAGGAAAGUAAAAGCUAUGCCUAAACCUAAUAUAGAUACAGGAUAUUUUAAAAUGCUAUAAAGGAUGUUAUUUAGGCAAUUGAAUAAAUUUGCAGAUGUACUGAAUAUUAGAUAUAUUGUGGUAUCAAUGUUAAAUUUCUUGAGUGUGAUAAGAGAGAUAUUGUGAUCAUGUAGGAGAAUAUCAUUGUUCUUAAAAGAGAUACAUGUUGAAAUGUGUAGGAAAUGAAACAUCCUUUUAUAUGUAGAGGACUUUCAAAUGGCUCUGUAAUAUCUAUAUCUAUACAUAUGCAUGCAGUCUUCACUUUGCAGGACUGUAAAAAGAUAUGGUAGUACAAGAUUAUAAAAAUGACCAUGCAAGCUGAAACUACAAAGUGAUCUUAAUCAAUGGGGAAAAUCACAGUUGUUCUGUCACCUUUAAAAAUGUUUACCAAAACAUUAAGAACACUCUUACGGUCAGUCAUAAAUGCAGAAAAUUGUAAAAAAAAAAAAAAAAAAAACACAAAACUAAUUUGUAUUUAGUGCACUGUAAUUUAAAACAUUAGAAAUAUUGAGGAUUAAAGUGUUUUAUUUCUUUGUUAAAACUUACCAAAGGCCAGGCAUGCUGGCUCACACCUGUAAUCCCAGCACUUUGGGAGGCCAAGAUGGGCAGUUUGCUUGAGCUCAGGAGUUUGAGACCAACCUGGGCAACCUGAUGAAAUACUGUGUCUCCAAAAAUAAUACAAAAAUUAGCCAGGCAUGGUGGUGUGUGCCUGUAGUCCCAGCUACUCAGGAAACUGAGGUGGGAGUAUGGCUUGCACCCAGGAGGCAGAGGUUGCAGUGAGCCAUGAUCAUGCCACUGCAUUCCGGCCUGCGUGACAGAGCAAGACCCCAUCUCAAAAACAAACAAACAAUCAAACAAACAACAUCAACAAUAAAAAGCUUACCAAGAAUAAUUUGAACAGUGUUGCUUCUUCUGAUUAUAUAACUUAUCUUAUGGAUGAAGCAUCUUUUCUCCACUUUCACAAAUCAUCAUAUUCCUUUCUAAGUUUAGAUUAGCUUACAUUAUUUUAUCCUUUGCAUUUUCAGUGUUGUGAAAUGUUUCUAAAGAGAUUUUCUAAUUGUAUCAAUCUACCUACUUUUUUGUGAAGUUUUUUGGCAAUGUCACUUCCUCUGGGACAUCUUCAUCCUUUUUUGUCACAGCCACUUUCUUCAUUAAUGUCAAUAAUUCCACCUUUACUAAGUUCCCCUGACUGCAUACCUAGAGUCUUUCUAAUGAUCACAGUGUCAAUAUUGCCAUAGCCAACUAUCGUUUCUGUAACUCUAUGUUUGAUCUGAAUUUCACAUCCAGUGUUACUACUUUUCAUGUUUUUCCUUCACUUUCAUUUUUCUUGGCCAAUUUCCUCUUUCUAAUAUCUGUUUUGUUUUGUUUUGUUUUGUUUUUUUGAGACAGAGUCUUGCUCUGUAGCCCAGGCUGGAGUGCAGUGGUGCAAUCUUGCUCACUGCUACCUCUGCUUCCCAGGUCCCGGUUCAAGCAAUUCUCCUGCCUCAGCUUCCUGAGUAGCUGGGAUUACAGGCAGGAGCCACCAUGCCCAGCUAAUUUUAUUUUUGUAAUUUUAGUAGAGACAGGGUUUCACCAUGUUGGCCAGGCUGGUCUUGAACUCCUGACCUCGUGAUCCACCUGCCUCGGCCUCCCAAAGUGCUGGGAGUACAGGCAUGAGCCACCGUGCCCGGCCUUUAAUAUCUAUUUUUGUAAAAUAUUUUGUGAGUUUAUCACUGGGAGACAAGGAAGUAACACAAUUUCACGCCUUGCUGUCUGUGCAUGAACUGAAAAACAGAUGUGCAGUGAUCAAUUGCUGACAGAUUUUCAAAGCAGUGAAUGAUUGGUCACUGUCAUUGAUGAUGAUGCACAUUUGUUAAUUACAUAAUGGUUGGCAGACUGAAGUUCUUGCAGUGAAGUUUGUACUUUGUGUAAUUACAUUUAGUAGGCAUAGUCACCGAAAUUUGAAUCAUGUCAUUGGGUAACUGCCUUUGUGUAUGUAUGUGUAUAUGCAUAUAUGCAUAGUUAUGUGUGUGAAUCUAGAAAAAGGUUAUAUAGGUAGCCCAUUGUAUUAUUCUUGCAGCUUUUCUGCCACUUUCAAGUUUAUCUUAAUAAAAGUUAGGGGUGGGAGGGUGGGAAGGAAGCAGAUCAUAAGGAGAUAAGACAACGCAAUAGAAAAUCUAAAGAAAGAAUAGAUAAGCCAGGCGCCCUGGCUCACACCUGUAAUCCCAGCACUUUGGGAGGCCGAGGCGGGUGGAUCACGAGGUCACGAAAUUGAGACCAUCCUGGCUAACAUGGUGAAACCCCAUCUCUACUAAAAAUGCAAAAAAAAAAAAAAAAAAAAAAAAAUUAGCCGGGCGUGGUGGCGGGCGCCUGUAGUCCCAGCUACUCAGGAGGCUGAGGCAGGAGAAUGGCGUGAACCCGGGAGGCGGAGCUUGCAGUGAGCCAAGAUCGCGCCACUGCACUCCAGCCUGGGCGACAGAGCGAGACUCCGUCUCAAAAAAAAAAAAAAAAAAGAAUAGAUAAUAAAAACAAACAGGGAAUCCAGAGACUAGAAAAGGCUAUGGAAUCAAACCGCCUGGGUUUGAAUCUCAUUUUAAUUACCAGCCAUGUGAUCUUAGACAAGUUAUGGAAUAUCUCUGAACUUGUUUCUCUUAAAAAUUAGGGCUAAAAGAAUAUCUACUUCAUAGGGUAAUAUGGAUGGUUAAAUAACUUUCAUAUAUGAAGUAAUUCUAAGUGUACAGAUGUGUUAAGAUGGGGAGACUUUACUGUCUUUAGAUACUAAUAAGAAUCCAGAAGACAGAGGUUGAAGCUAGGAGAAGAGAUAGUGGCGUAUGCUUCUUAAGAAGGUGGGAGGGGAUGGGAUCCAAAUAAGAAACAGAGGAGUUGGUCUUGCACUAAGACCCUCUCUAUUUUAACAGGAGGGAAAGAGAAUAGGAUGGGUGAAGGUAUAGGUUGGAUAGUAACUUUGCUAGGGGGAAGAAGUUAUUUAAUUUUGUAGUCUCCAAGAAAUAAAAGGUGAGGCAUUUUCUGAGCAUGAACAGCACAAUAGGGGAUUAGAGGUUGAAGAGAGUGUGGAAGACUUGAGAUGGCUCUUGCAGAGACUAAGAGAGCCAGCUGGCCAAAUAACUAUAACAGCAUUGUUGGCAGUGUGGAGGGCCCAGAGUGACUGACCUUAAAAUUAUAGUUCUUUCAGCCUGCCCUUUUGUGUUUCUUACUUCAGCUGCCAGUGGCUCAGCUGCCUUGGUGCAGGCAUGGAGAGUGUGGGCUGUUGAGUUCAUCCAGGAUUGAGGUUUUUCCAGAUGGAUGUGAGGAAAAGAUAGACAAGAGAAUUUAUGGUAUUGGCAAGGAGGUUACUGAAAGUAUGUACCAUGAAAUCUAACCUGGGAGGGAAUUAGUAGUAGAAGAGGGCUAGUGAUGAGGGGGAAAAUAGGGGGGACCUGUUUUCUUUGGAGAAUUGUUGGAGUGCCUUGGGUGUUUCUUUCCUUCUCUCCCAGGCAAAGAUAGUGGCAUUCCUGUCUCCUUAGCUCAAAUAAAAAGGAUACUUUAUCGAAACCACCUGACGAGGUUUAAAUGUGCCUCUGGAGUUUGAAGAGCAUUAAGGACUGGUACGAGUAGCUCUGUGCAAAUCAUCCAGGUUAGAGAAGGUGGGGAGGAAAGGGGAGAAGUGGGCAGGGGCACUGGGAGCAAACUGCACAUCCACAAGCAGUGAGGCAAGGGUGGGUGACUGUUUCUCCUGAGCCAGAUGUGGGCCUGUGGAGAAGCUUGCCUGGGGCAACCUCAUAUUCCAAAACUGGCUGGAGGGGGUAUGUGACCACAGGGAAGGGAGUGGCCACCAGAUAGCCAGGGGCUGAGGAGAGAAUUGUAGAGGGCCAGCCUGAGGAGAGACAUUGCCUUCACAAUGGGAGCAUAGUUGGAUGUUCCAAGGGGAGUAUCUCCCUGAAAUUCACAAAAAUACCCAGUGAAGUAAAGAGUGAGCAACAGGAUUCUGCCAUACCGAGAGGCUGCCAUAGGUGACUGUGUCUGUGCCUACCAAGUGGGACCUUGAUGACCUCUCCUCCCUUUUCCUGAUCCAACCCUGAAAGCACAGAGGUAGUUAAUUGGGGGUUUAAGAAGGUGGGUGUGGGUGGACAGAGAGCAAGGAGACGGAAGAAGCAGCCGUCUGUAUUUCCAUCCCUUCUCCCCACCCCCUAGGUUUUCCAGUCUGCUGCAGCAACAAGAUGGGGGUGGGGAGGCUCAAAUUUUAUGAGUGUCAUUCAAAUUUUAUUGAACAUUUUAAUUACUGAACUGAGACCAUUCUUGUGGCUGAGUUACCAGGAGAAUUUUUAUGACCUGAAAGAAGCCAGGAAAGUAAGUCUGCACUAGGGACAAGGAAAACAAACAAAAAAGCAACUAGCCUAUAGAGGAGUUGGAAAAGGGUGAUUGAUGUGGUUUAGAUCUGUGUCCCCGCCCCAAUUUCAUGUUCAAUUGCAAUCCCCAAUGUUGGUGGUGGGGCCUGGUGGAGGUGAUUGGAUCAUGGUGGUGGUUUCUCAUGAAUGGUUUAGCACCACUGCUCUUGAUGCUAUCCUUAAGAUAGUGAGUGAGUUCUUGCCAGAUCUGGUUGUUUGAAAGUGCAUAGCACCUCCCCACUCUUGCUCCUGUUCCUACCAUGUGAGAUGUCUGCUCUCCCUUUGCCUUCCUCCAUGAUUGAAAGCUUCCUGAGGCCUCUCCAGAAGCAGAAGCUGCUAUGCUGCCUGUACAGCCUGCAGAACCAUAAGCCAAUCAAACCUCUUUGCUUCAUAAAUUACCCAGUCCCUGGUAUUUCUUUAUAGCAGUGCAAGAACGGACUAAUAGAGUGAUUUAGAGAAAAAAAAAAAACUUGUAUUAUCAUUCUGCUGUAUAAAAUUCAGUUCAUUCACUAUAAUACUGAUCACAUCAGUUUAGUAAAAUAAUGAUAACAAGGUCCAGAGUGUGGCUGUGGAAGUAGCUGGCUCUGAUGGAGUGGACUAGAAGGUCAUUGAGGGUGAAGAAGGCAAGGUAUGAGAAGACUUGGUGAUGGCUGAGUCAUCUUUGUAGAUAAUGAAUUCUUCCAUGAUGCUGGCAAAGGUUGGGGUUGAAAGACUGCAAGCCCAAGGCCAGUGGUUCUUAAACUUUAGAGCGCAUUAGAAUCCACCUAGAGAGCCAUUAGAAGAUAGAGGGGCCCAGGCUUAUUGAAGUAGGAUACGGCCUGGGCUUCUGUAUGUUUUCAACAAGUUCUCAGGUAGUAUGAAAUACACAACAAAAUUUGAGAACCUCUACCCAAUAUUUAGUGGUGAGUAGUAAGUGAUAAAUAGGUACAUAACCAUAUCUACCUGAAGAAAGGAAGAGAGGGCAAUUUAGCCAAAUAGGAGGAAUACCCAGGAAGCAAUUUUUUUCUUUUUGUUACAUGAGGGUAAAGAAGUAGUAGUUUGAGAACAGUAAUAGGGUCAACUAGCCUCUCAACCCAUUAUCCAUAACUAUUCUUUUUCAUUUUUUUUCUUUUUGUGAAUAUGAGUGUUGUGGAUUGAACUGUAUCUCCCCUGAAAAAGAUCUAUUGAAGUCCUAACCUUUAGUACCUCAGAAUAUGAUCUUAUUUGGAAAUAGAGUCAUGAUAAUUUGGAAAUAUAUGUAAUCAGUUAAGAUGGGUCCCUAACACAAUAUAAUUGGCAUCCUUAUAAGAAGAUGGCCACAUGCAGACACAGAGACAGACAGUGAGAAUGCCAUGUGAUAAUGAAGGCAGAGAUUAAAGUUAUGCAGUUGUAAACCGAGGAAGGCCAAAACCACCAGAAGCUAUGAAGGGAGAAAGAAGGAUUCCUCCAUAGGUUUAAGAAGAAUCACGGCCCUGCUGACACCUUAUUGUUGACUUCUGUCUUCCACAACACUGAGACAGUACAUUUGUGUUGUUUUAAGUCACCCAGGUUGUGAUACUUCGUUACAGCAGCCCUGGGAAACUAAUACAAUAAAGUUGAGAUAUUCCUUUCUUGGUGUGCCAUAAAUCAUCUCUCCUACAUUCUGCCCAUGUUGUGUUUUUGUCCCCUUUGCAAUGAAUUAGUCUGUCUCAGGACAGAGAAACCAUGUUUGAGUCAGCAGAUGCCAUUAGAACAACAAGAAAAAGAAAAGUCUACUGCUUCCCAACAUGCUUAAGCUAAAAACACAAUAUACUUUACGUGUUCUUGAUGGAGUAGUCAGCCCCCACACUGGCGUCUGCAUUUAUUAUUGACAAAUGAGUCAGUUCAUAUGAGACUGGUAGCUUAUUUGAGUAGGUGUAUGCUAAAGUUAUUUUGAAAAAAGGAAAAUAAGCCUAUAAAUAUACUUGUAUGCUACUUUCAUGAGAAAGCACUUCUCAUGAGGAAUCUUUAUUAAACCAAUUUUCACAAAAGUGUUGAGAAAACUCAGCAGUCAUACAUAAUGGGUUCCACUUUCAAAAGUCCGCCCACCUCCUUUGACUUUCAUAACUUCUCUCCUCUCCCUAAUAUUGAAGGAAAGUCUUGGGCCACAGAUGGCCCAACAGACCACACUAACUGAUCCCAGGAAAUAUUAAAUUUCUAAUUUAUUUAGCAAAGCCUACAGAAACCAAGCAGAAGUGAGGUGCCAUUCAGAGCAAGAACAUAGAAACAUACCACAUCCCAUUUCAACGUCCAGUGGUCCCUAAGAGGGUGCACGGCUGCCUGUGACCCAUCAGAUCAAAACAUACUGUGGUCCAGAAAUGCUACUUGUAGAAAUUUAGCUUGCAGAAAAAAAAAGUCAAAGGGCAAGGUAAGGGACUGAGUGGCUUACAGAUUCUAGAGAGAAGAUAGAGCCAAUGGUUGCUAGCUGAGCAGAGCAGUCCAGGACUUAUGCCUGGAAGAGGGGUUUUGUGUUGAAUCUCCCUUUUUAUGUCAGGACCUUGAGCGUGGACUAUAGGAGCAGACAGGGUAAUGUCAAAAGCGGAUCUGGGCUAAACAUUCUAUUUUUUUUUUCUUUUUUCUUGAGACAGAGUCUCACUCUGUCACUCAGACUGCAAUGCAGUAGCACGAUCUUGGCUCACUGUAGCCUCUGCCUCCUGGGUUCAAGUGAUUCUCCUGCCUCAGCCUCCUGAGUAGCUGGGAGUACAGGUGCGCACCACCACGUCCACCUAAUUUUUGUAUUUUUAGUAGAGAUGGGGUUUCUCCAUGUUGGCCAGGAAGGUCUCUAUCUUCUGACCUUGUGAUCCACCCACCUCGGCCUUCCAAAGUCCUGGGAUUACAGGCGUGAGCCACCACGCCCGGCCGGGCUAAAGAUUCUUAUCCCAGCUUUGGCUACACAUGCAUGCUUUCCAAGCUCUCUCUCAAGUCAUAAUCCAGCCUUCUGUAAGAUAUUUUCACUUGGAUGCUCUGCAGCUACCUGAAUGAAGCUCAUCAUACCUAAAAACUUAGUUCACAUCUCACCUCCAACUCCCUCCCCCAAAUCUCUCUCCUCCUCUUGAAUUUUCUUUCUAUGUACUCUCCUGAACUCCCAAAGACAGUUGUCUGCUUGUGCUGUCUCAAAAUGCUAUACUUCUCCCAUGUUCUCUGAUCCGUCUUCAGCAUCCUAGAUAUUUCUGAAGCUGCCUGGUUAAAGCUUCCAGUGACCCUAGUAGCAUGCAACUGAAUAGUCUCUUUGCUUGUCCUCAUGCUCAUUGUUCAACAGCAUUCAAGCUGCAUACUUCUCAGCUGACCUUUCUCCUCUCUUGACCUCUGGUACAUUACCCAUCUAGUUUCCCAUCUACUUUGGCUAUUUCUAUAUAGUCUUCUUCUCUUCAACUUCUAAAAUAUAGAGUUCUUCUGACAUUUCUUUAAAUACUAUCAAUAUAUGCUGAUAAACUAUAUUUCUAAUAGGCUCCAGACCUGAAAAUGUAAUUAGUAACUCAAACUUUCUCUUUCUAUUUCUCUCUCUCUCUCGAUGUCUCUCAGGCAUCUCAAACAUAACAUACUCUCCAUCAAACUCUAGAUUCCCUUGAAAGCCUCCCAGCUCUGUCAAUCCCAAGUCUUUCCAGCUCAGUAAACGGCACUCCAUUUCAUACAGAUCAGAAAUCUUUCCCUUUCCCUCAUCUCCCACAUCUAAUUCAUCUGUAAGUUCUCUGGUUCCUACUAUCCUUUCACCACUUUGAUAUAAGCCAACACCUGGACUCUGGAAAUGGCCUCCAAACUGAUUUCUCUGAUAUACUUCCUGACAUCUUCAGUCCAACUCUGCCCCAAUAUCUUCACUGAGAACAGCUGGAGAGUAAACUUUUAAGAACUUACUGUGGCCCACAAGGCCAUGCAUGAUUUGGCUUUUGCUAGUCUCUCCAAGCUCAUCUCAUUCCGUUCUCUUCUUUGCCCACAGAGCUUAAACCUGCUGUCCUUUCAGUUCCUGAGGCUAGCCCAGCUUUUUCCUGCUUCAAGGCUUUGCAUAAAUUGUUCCCUUUUCCUUGAACACUCUCUGCCUACUCCAUAUAUAUAUAUAUAUCUCCUUUGCCUAACUACACUUAACAUUUGGUACAACAAUUGAUACAUAGUAGGCUCUCAGUAAGUAUUUGUUGAAUGAGUGCAAUGAACGGAUCUGACUGGAAAAGUUCUACCAACAACCCGUUGGUCAGCGAGGAGGACAAAGGGAAACCACUCACUAAGUGCCAGAAACUGCCUGUUAGAAAAACAGAAUGUUCUUAUAGAUAUCUAUAUCUCCUUUUCCUUAAAGAUCUAUGAUUUCAUAGGGCUGAUUAAAAAAUAAUCAAAAUAUUGACAGAACAGUAUGUAGUGUGAGACUAUGUAAAUGCUUUCAGCAGAAGUUAAGAUAUAAAUAAUAAAUACUGGCAGCCGAAGUACAGAAGACAAUUAAUUGCCAAAUGAUUAGUACAGGCUCAUGGUUUCCAACAUUUUCAUCAGUAAGGAUUUGUUCAUUAUGCUUUUCCCACAAGGACCUCAUAUUUUUGAAACCAUCUGCCUACUAAACAAACUACAUUUACCAUGUGAUAAUUAUUUUUCACUUUAAAUCAUAUGUAAUCCCCAAUUAGACAUAUAUAACCCCUAAUUAGGGCAUUUAGUCAACAUAGCAAUGCAAGCCAAAAGCAAGAUCAGGAACUUUUGUUUUAAUGUCAAUAACAUUUUUACUGAGCUUUUGGAAAUAUUUAAAAUAUCUUGCCAACCCCCACCUGGUGUUUCAUUCAAAGCUUUAGCUUGUGUAUUUUGUAAAGAAAAUAAUACAUAGGUUUGUUUACCAUAUGUAUCUUUUUUCUUCAUGAAAGUCUCCCUGUGCCUUUUUGCAGAUUAGUAACUAUAAGUGAAUCGGGUUCCUUGAGGGAGAGAAACUUCUAUCAUAGCGGUAUUUUGAAAAUGAGUUAAUUGAGGUUUUGAUAGUCUACCAGAGCCAAGAUACAUAGCAGACUCUGCCAUGGAUUCUAACAUGCUUCGUCUUUUCUCUACUUGUCAUGCAGCAGUAAACAGAGAAAUGAAGAGAAAAAAAUGAACAAAACCUUCGUUUUUAGUGAAACUAUUGUAUUUCUUUUUAUCCUGCCUUAAUGGUAGGAAGUAACACUACACACUAGUCCAAACUAAUUUAGCUACUUAAGCUCUUUGUUCUUCCUUUGAACAUGUACAUGUAAUUUUAAUCAUUUCAGGCAGCAUGGGUUCUCAAGAAGUAAUUUUUGUCAAGGAAAGGAAGAAUAUGUAAAUAUUUUAUAUACAUAAGAUGAACAUUCAUCCAUGUGCUUUAGACGGGUCUGAAAUAAUCAAACUAAUGAUAUUUUUCAAGCUGCCUCUUUGAGAACAUUUCCUAAAAACUGACCAUUAUUAGCAAAAUCAGUGUUUCUAUAGAGGUAUUUAAGAUAUUCAGAUAGGCUGGAUUAAGAAAAUGUGGCACAUAUACACCAUGGAGUACUAUGCAGCCAUAAAAAAUGAUGAGUUCAUGUCCUUUGUAGGGACAUGGAUGAAAUUGGAAAUCAUCAUUCUCAGUAAACUAUUGCAAGAACAAAAAACCAAACACCGCAUAUUCUCACUCAUAGGUGGGAAUUGAACAAUGAGAUCACAUGGACACAGGAAGGGGAACAUGGACACAGGAGAUCACACUCUGGGGACUGUUGUGGGGUGGGGGGAGGGGGGAGGGAUAGCAUUGGGAGAUAUACCUAAUGCUAGAUGACGAGUUAGUGGGUGCAGCGCACCAGCAUGGCACAUGUAUACAUAUGUAACUAACCUGCACAAUGUGCACAUGUACCCUAAAACUUAAAAGUAUAAUAAUAAUAAUAAAAAAAAGAAAGUAAAAAAAAAAAAGAUAUUCAGGUAAAUCAUGUUACAUAAGUUCUGAAGAUAAAGGUUGUUAAUCAUAUAGUUAUUGAGCAACUUAACACCGGAACUCAAGAUAUUUCAAUUCAUAAUUUUGCUAACAGGUGCAGAAUCUUCUAUAUUUUUAUAGCUUUUGUGUGGGAAGCAAGCUGUAGUGGAGUUGGUGGCAAUUUUAUCUUACUAGACAAACGCUUGAUAGAUCAAGCAUUUUUGGUACUUAAAGUGUCUCACAAUAGAUCCAAAUUUCACUUCUUUUUCCUGUCGAGAUGCUCACAAACAUCUACCACCUUAAGACUUUAAAGAACUUUACAAAUGAAUGUCAUUUUCCUGCAUGUUUUAGCCAUAGACAAGAUGAAACAAGUAUAUUGACUCUUCUGAGGUUAUAAAGCCUCUGCACAGCUGGAACAAAAAGCUGUAGGGUUUUUUUUCCAUUAGGUAUAUAUAAACUUUUUAUUUCAUUAUGGUAAAAUAUCUAUAACAAAAUGUGCCAUUUUAAUCACUUUAAGUAUACAAUUCAGUAGCAUUAGCAACAUUCACAAUGUUAUGCAAUCAUCGCCACUAUUUCCAAAACUUUUCCAUCACCCCAAACAGAAACUCUAUCAUCAGGUGCACUUUUCAUGCAAUAUGUUGAAUAAAUGUUUAUUCAUUAAGAAAUAGUUCAUCCAUUAAACAAAUAGUUAUCAAGUAUCUACCACCGGUGUAACCCUCUGUUAGAAACUAGAGAUAAGCAAUGAGAACAAUGUGAGAUGAAAAGAAUAAACAAUGGAGAGAGUGGCCCAUUUUCAGAAAUUGGUGCCUCUGGAGGCCAGUCGACCAACUAAAACACCAGUAAUAAUAUUAAUACUAUCUAAGCACUUUAGUUAUAUUAAUUCAUUUAAUCUUUACAACAACCCUAUGAGGCAGGUACAAUUAUUAUUAUCCUGAUGCUGCAAGUGAUGAAACUGAGGCAAAGGGAGGUUAAGUCACUUGCUCAAGGUCACACAGCUAAUAACAGUUGGAGCUGGGUUUCCAACCCAGGCUGACACACUCAGAGUAUGUACCCUUAACCACUGUGUGCAACUUUAAAAAAUUUUUUUAACUGAGGUAUAACUGACAUACAAUAAAAUGCAUCCAAUUUAAGUUAUGAUUCAAUGAAUUUUAACAAGUGACUACAACCAUGCAUAGCAUAAUCAAGAAAUAGCACAUUUUCAUCACCUUAAAAUGUUCCCUUGAGCCCUUUUGCAGUCCGUGCUCCCUGACCCAUAACCCUUAGUUUUAGGCAACCACUAAACUGCUUAAUUAUAGAUUAGAUAGAUUUUCCUUCCUAUAAUUUCAUAUAAAUAGAUUCAAACAGUACUCUUUCCAUCUAGCUUCUUUUGCUUUCCGUCUAGCUUCUUUUGCUCAGUAAACUUUUUUUGAGAUCACUGAUGUUGUUGCAGGUGUUAGUAGUUUCUUUUAACAGUUGAGUAAUAUACUACUGUUAUUUGUUUAUCAGUUCAUCUGUUGAUGGACUCUUGGGUUGUUUGCAUCUUUGACUACUAUGAAUAAAGCUGCUGUAAGCAUUCAUGUACUAAUAUAAGCAAAUGUAGGGUUUAAUUUAUUUAGGAUAAAUACCUACAAAUGAGAUUUGUGGGUUAUAUAGUAAGUAUGUGUUUAACUUUGUAGAAACUGCGGCCGGGCGCGGUGGCUCACGCCCAUAAUCCCAGCACUUUAGGAGGCCGAGGCGGGCGCAUCACGAGGUCAAGAGAUGGAGACCAUCUUGGCUAACACGGUGAAACCCCGUUUCUACUAAAAAACAUUACAAAAAAAAUUAGCCGGGCAUGGUGGCAAGCCCCUGUAGUCCCAGCUACUCGGGAGGCUGAGGCAGGAGAAUGGCGUGAACCCAGGAGGCGGAGCUUGCAGAGAGCAGAGAUCGCGUCACUGCACUCCAGCCUGGGUGACAGAGCGAGACUCCGCCUCAAAAAAAAAAAAAAAGAAAGAAAGAAACUGCCAAAUUAUUUUCCAAAGCAGUUGUAGUGUUUUAUGGUCCCACUAGCAACUUAUGAGAGUUCUGACCAUCCAUGUCCUUGUCAACAGCGAGUAUUUCAGUCUUCUUAAUUUUGGCCUUUCUAAUGUCUAAUGGAUAUGCAGUGGUGACACACUGUGGUUUUAAUUUGUAUUUCCUUGAAGAUAAAUAGCGAGUAUCUUUUCUUGUAUUUACACAACAUUCAUAUAUCUUAUUUUCAAAUCAUUUGCGCCUUGUUUCAUUAGAUUAUUUUUUCUUAUUAUUGAGUUGACUACUUACUAUUGAGGGUUUUUAAAAAUAUAUUCUGGAUAUCAGUCUUUUGUCAAAUAUAUAUUUUGCAAAUAUGUUCUCCCAGUUUGUGGCUUGUCUGUUCACUUCCUUAAUUUUGUCUUUCUAAGAGCAGAGGGUUUCAUUUUAUGAAGUCCAAUUUAUCAUUCCUUAAUGAUUUGUCCUUGUUUUUAUUCUAAGAAACUUUUGCCUAUCCCAAGUUCACAAAAAUUUUCUCCCAUGUUUUCUCAUCUAGUCUUUUAUGAUUAAGUAUGUGGUUAGUUGCAGACUUUCGUAAAUGUCCUUUACUAUGUUAAGGAAGUUCCCUUCUGUUCUUGAUAUGCUGAGAGACUGUCAUAAAUGAAGCAUUUAUGAAAUGCUUUUUCUGUAUCUAUUGAGAUGGCCAUAUAGUGUUUUCCUUUUUUCUGUUAAUAUGGUGAAUUCCAUUGAUCACAUUUGAAUUUCAAAUCAACCUCAUUUUCCUGAGAUUUCACUGGAUUAUGAUACAGCAUCCUUUUAAAUACUACCAGAUAUGAUUUGCUCAUAUCUAUUGAGGAUCUUUGCAUCUAUGUUCAUGAGAGAUAUUAGUCAGUGUUUUCCUUUUCUUGUUGUAAUGUCUUUAUCAGGUUUUGAUAUCAUAGUAGUGGUGGCAUCACAAAAUGGGUUGGGAAAUUUGCCCCCUCAAUUUUGUAAAGAAUUGAUACUAUUUUUUCCUUAAGUGUUUGAUGAAAUUCACCACUAAAGCCACCUGGGCCUGCAGUAAAACCCAGAUUAGAACUUCAAUUUCUUUAAUAAAUAUGAGGCUAAUAAGGUUUUCUAUUUCUUCUUGAAUCAAGGUUUGUUAUUUACAUCUUUCAAGGAAUUUGUUCAUUUCUUUUAAGUUGUCAAAUUUAUUGUCAGAGGUGUUCAUAUUCCAUUCUUAUGCUUUUAAUAUUUAUAGAAUCUGUAGUAAUGUUCCCUCUUUAACUUCUAAUGUUGGUAUGUUUUUCUUUUUGAUCAGUCUAGCUAGAGACUUAGCAGUUUUAUUGAUCUUUUCAAAGAACCAGCUUUUGAUUUCAUUGAUUUUGUCUUUUGUGUUCUAUUUUAUUCAUUUCUGCUCUUAUCCUUAUUAUUUUAUUCUUUCUGCUUACUUUGUUUUAUUUCCUCUUUUUAUCAUGUAAGUUGAAAGCUUUAUUGAUUUUAGACCUUUCUUCUUUUCUAAUAUAAGCAUUUAGAGCUAUAAAUCUCCCUCUAAGCACUGCUUUUGCUGCAUCCCAUAAAUUUUGAUAUGUCAUAUUUUCAUUUUUAUUAUUUUCAAGAUGUUUCCUAAUUUCCCUUGUAUUUUUUUCUCUGCUGCAUAAAUUAUUUAGAAUUGUGUAGUGUAAUUUCCAAUAAUUAGGAAUUUUUCAGGUAUCUAUUUUUGAUUCCUAAUUAAAUUCCCCUGUGGUCAGAUAUUAUACUCUGAAUGAUUUCAAUUUAUUGACACUUGUUUAAUGGCCUAGAAUAUGGUCUAUCUCAAUGAUUAUUCUAUGUGUAUUUGAAAAGAAUGUGUAUUCUGCUGUUGUUGGGUAGAGUAGACUACAAAUGUCAAUUACAUCAAGUUGGUUGGUAGUGUUGUUCAAGUCUUCUGUCCUUACUGAUUUCUUGUCUACUUGUUCUAUUGAUUAUCAAGAGGGAAGUAUUGAAACCUCUGACUAUAAUUGUGGAUUUGUCUAUUUUUCCUCACAGUUCUAUUAGUUUUCACUUCAUGUAUUUGGAAGCUGUGUUAUUAGGUGUCAUUAAGGACACACUUCUCUAGCUGGAAAGAAGUCAAAUGACUUCCAGGCCUUUGAGAACACUGUGAAUUGUUUGGUUUACAACUCCCCAGUCAUUUCGUUAUGAAGCUUCUUUGGAAUUUCCCCCUAUGUCUUCAUGAUGACUUAUUCAGCAACGAUCUCAAGGGCAACCCUACCCCUACGCAAUUUUCUGAAGCUCUCUCUCUCUCUUUUGUUAGUAGAAUUCCCCCUCCUGCAACUCUGCUAUUCCAAUCCCAGCUGUUCCCACCUUCUGAAUUUCUAAUCUUUCAACUUGGCAAGACUGCCACACUCUGCUUGGCCAUGCCACACCACCAUAUGAAAAGUAUCCUAGGCAGAAAGCUAGUACUAUUGCAGAGCUCAUCUCAUUUUUCUCAGGGUUCAGAGCACUGAAUUACCUGUUGUUGUUCAAUGACUACAAACAAUUGUUCAUACAUUUUGCUUAGAGCGGGAAGGUAUGUCUAGACCCAGUUACUCCAUCAUGAUUAGAAACAGAAGUCAGUAACGUUUGAAAAGAGGCCAAAGUACUACAAUAUUCACAAAUUAUAGCUUACAUAAACUAAGGUGAAUUUUAAAAGGAGAAAAUCCAUUGAAAAAUACUGGAAAUAUUUAGAUUUCAAGAGUUUCAGGAACUCUGAAAAAUAGUUUAACUAGUACCCCUGACAUCAAGGGUUGAUUAUUCUGUUUGAAUUAAGCCAGAGCUAAUAUUCCUAAGGAUUCUAGUGAUUCUUGCCAGCUUUUAGGAUUUCAGCAAGUAGUGCUUAUUUAUUCAUUCAUAAAUAAUACAUUUACAUAUAUCUCACAUUAAUUAUGACCCAUUUCAUAACUUAGUAUGCAUUCAUUCAUCUUCUUUCUCCAGGGAUAAUAGAUGUAAAGCAGAAAUGCAUUCCAUGUUAUGUAUUUGCAUUAUGUGAAUGUUCAGAAAAACCCAGUCAAACUUUCAUAUAUUAGUUACAGAUAAAUAAUGGAAUCUUCAGGAACUCUUUUUUCUUUCCUAUGUCUGCUGAAUAUGACUCCUUCCCAGUGGCUGGUCCUACCAUCACCUGGAAAAAAACUCUUCAAAGCUUCUGAUCUACUUCUUUCCUCAAUUUUUACUUCACCCCAUGAGGCAGAGUUAGGAUUUAUGGUAGGAGGAUAAAAGGAGAAAAGAGAAUAAUCAUGAAUAAUAUUAGCAAUGAAUGUUAAGCACUUUCAAUAUGCCAUAUAUUGUGUUCAUUAGUCAGUAUUGCCUAGGUUUGCUGUGAUAACAAGCAAUCCCCAAAGCUCAGUGACUUAUAACUUGUAAUAACAAAGGUUUCUUUUUUGCUAUUUUAGAUCUUUAUUGUAUGCUGGCUCUGAUUUUAGUCUAUAUUUUCUUUACUAUGUGACUUUGAGGAAUGGAGCAAUAGCUGUCUGGAACAUUGCAGGUCAUUAUGGUAGAGGGAAAAGAGAAACAUGACAAAUGGUGUAUUGGCUCUUCAGUCUUCUUCCUCAAAAUGUCAUGUGUCACAUUCACUCAUAUUUCAUUGGUUAAAUCAAAUCUCAUGGCCUAGGCUGACAUCAGUGGGGUUGGGAAGUCUAAUGCUCCCCCAGGGAGAAACACCAAAUAUUUGUGAACAAUAAAGUAGUCUACUAUACUGUACUAAGCACUCAAAUAUUUUCUCCUUUUGUCUUCAUAACAGCCUUCUAGAAAUAGGUACUAUUAUUGUUUUAUUUUAGAGAUGAAUAAACUAAGGCUCAGAGAGUAACCUGGCAAAAGUCAAACAAUAUGAAAUGGUAAGGCGUGGUCCCAGAUUGUCUGACCCUACUGUAAUUGUAUUAUACUGCCAUCAAAUGAGAAAAGGAAAAGAAAGGAGCUGGGAAGGAAUGAGCAGAAAGAAAGGAAAGGAAGCAAGAUAUUAAAAAUAAUUGCAAACUACUUCUUAAGGAAAUCAGAUGCAGUGAUAAGAAAGGGGUAAGGAAAAGUAAAUGGGAAAGAUGAGAGAAAGGAAAAUGUUCUUUUAUCUUAUUGCUUGCCAGUCCACCUGCAUAUAUCCAUCCUGCAUCACAUGCCUUUAUCUUAUGCCAUCCCAAGAAAGCCCAGCUCCUGUCUCUCCACAUUCCAAAGUCUCUAACCCCAUGACCUACCUCGAGGUUCCCCAGAGUCCUAGUCUAUUUUAAUUGAUUGUUCUUUUUAUACUGUGCAAAAAAGUGAGUUAAACUUAUAAAUUUAGCAUUGACAAAAAACAUUUCUAUUCUUUAUACCUGGCAUGUUAUAAAAAUGCAAACACUUGAUACUUUUCUAUUGUUGCCUUUGGAAACAUGCAUAUUAGUGAUUUGUAUCUGCCCUUUGAAUAAAAACCAGUAUCCAAAGUUUUCUGAAGCAAUUCUGUGAGAACGGAAGGUGAAUAUAGCUCAUUAAUAUAACUUUAAAAUUACAUUAAAGUGGGAAAAGAAACUGGAAAAUAUCACUAGCGUUAACGAAAAAGCUUAAAAUCUGUGUUCUAUAAAAUGCUCAUACAAAAUGAGCUGAGGAAAGAGAUGCCUCUUCCAAGAGGAACUAACCAGUAAACAAAUACAUGGAAAGGAUUUCAUCCUCACUAGUGGUAAAAGAAAUGCAAAUUAAAACAAAAAUGAGGACUAUUUUGUGUUUAUUAAAGGGGCACACAACUCUUUCAAUGUCACCACUUGAUUAUGAGUUGUUUUUUCAGUGAAAUUAUUAUAAUCUUAAAGUGUUGUUGAUACUUCUUGUAGGAACUAUGUGUAACAUAUAACAAGCUUGUAUGGGUUAAAUCAUACUGUUUAAGCCUCUACUUUCCCGAAAAUGAACCAUGAGCUUGUCCCAGCAUUCCAGUGGGGCUGCUGCAGUGGCUGGAUACAUUUCUGAUGGAGAAAUGUCUAUCUCAAAUGUAAAAGGUGGGAGGCUGUGGGUGGAACCUUCAGAGUUCCUUAGUCACUAGAAGAAAUAAAAACCUCCUCAUAUCCAGGGUUUUGACCUUUGAUCCUACCUCUUAGAAUAGAUUCUGAACAAGUAAUUCGUAAGGGAAAAAAAGCCAAAUAGACAAAGAUUCGCUGCAUUAUUUCUUAUAGAAAAGAUUAUGAAAUGUAUGUUGGACAACAGGAAAAUAAUGUAAAAGAUGAUGUAGCUAUUAAAAUGUAGAUUACAAGGACUACACAGCAACAUGGAACAUGCUUCUGAAAUUGUAUUAAUUGAAAAUGGCAGAAGGCACCCACUGUGAUUAUCCACAAUGGCUAGAAAAGAUCAGGGCCAAACAAAAAGUUGGAUUUGCUGAGGUGACAAGAUUGUAGGCAAAAGUUUUCUUUCAGUUAUUUAGAUUUAUUGUGUAAUACAGACAGAAUAUUUAUGUAAUUAGAAUUUUAUUUUCAGAGUAAAAGAGAAAUAGGAUACUGUGACCCUUUCCUACUCUUAUUGGAGGCUUCAGGAUUUCACUAUAAUGCAAAGCUCCAAAUCAAGCUCAGUUUUGGUAUUUUCUGAUAAAUAUUAGAAGCUCACUCCUAAUUUGAAAUGGUCAGCCUUUUUCAUAGGAUGGUUUAUGUGUAGAUAAGUAGCUCUUACAUUAAUCCAAUUAACUUGGAAGAUUGUAGGCAGGAAUGUACACCAAUCAUAGUGUCCACUUGUUAAAUUUUUUAAAUUACAGGACAAAGCAUAGGAGAAAAUGGCAUUUUAAAAUUAUGGUAUUCACAUUUAAAAAAUACUCAAUAUAUUUUUGUUUUCAACCAUGUUUCAGGUGAUGAAUCUCUACAUUUAAGGCAGUGGAUUUAGCUGUAAAUCUGAAACAAGAAGUGCACAAUUUCACCUGUGUUUCCAGACUUCUGGAUGCUCUUGUAGUGUUUUUAUUGUACUUUUUUCAGAUCAACAAUUGGACCCAUUGCAUUAUUUUUAGAGAUGCUUCACCUGAAAGGCGGUCUGGAGGUUGAAGAAAAAAAUAUUCAGCAUAUUAUUUGGAAAUAUAACUAAAAUAUUGUUUAAAACAAAUUCAUCCUAUGUAUCCUCACUAUUUUGAACACACUGUCUUACCCUUAGCACUGUAUCUAUCUCAUCAACAGCAAAAAUAGAAAAGCCAGACAUAGUCUUCUAUACUGGGGGGAUGGCAGAGCAGAGCAAGGGAGGAGGGGGAAAAUAAACCAUAACUUCUUGUGGCUGUUCUGGCUGAGGAAAGUUAGGUUUCAACAGCAGGCUUGAAAUGAGUUAUAGGCUCACUGAUGGAGGGGGAUGGGUUGAGGGGAGGAAACUAUUUUCUGCUCUGGGCUCCCACACUCAACAGGGGAAUGGGAAAAGAGUUAUGUGCCCUCCAGUACCUCCGAGAACAGCUUUCUUAGUGUUCACCUACUGAGCUUGAGGCAAAUUUUCAAGAUAGAUGAUCUAGUUCCUCCUCUCUGUUUAGUGGCUGCCCCUACCCUCAGAGAUAGCUGUGCGGAAACCGCAUGAGUGUGUGUGUAAGUGCAGGCACGCAUGUGUUUGCGUGGAAGGUGGGAGUGGUAGCAGAGGCAGGGGAAUGAGGAAGGAGAGGAAAAUCUCAGAGAGAAUAAUGAGGCUGUUGAGUGUGGGAGCCCAGUGCAGAAAAUAUUCUGGUGCUUGAGAGAGAACAGGAAGGAGUGUGUAUUUGUGUAUGUUUCUUUUCUUAGAUCGUUUCAUUCAGGAGGCAUCUCCCUGGAGACUGAGGAAAUUGUAGGAGUCCCCUGGGGUACUGUCAGCUCUACUUGCUGAGCUUCUGGAGAAAGAGUGAAAUACUAGGUAAAGGAGAUGCCUCCAGCCGGCUUCCAGGCAGAGGCAGUACUGAGAAGAAGGUGCAGGGAGGUGAGAGGGACCCCUGCCCUGAAUAAAUUGGAGAUAUUUCCAGAUGUGCUCCCUCCCCACACUCAGCCUCGCUGUGCUAGCUCUCGUCAGGAAGGACAGUAGGAUUGUACCAUGACUCCCUGAAGCUCUAGGUUGGCAGGAGGGAUGCUCCUCACGGUAUGCGCUCACCUUCCUUGCUCUGGCCAUAACCACUAAGCCUCCCAGCUUCAAAUAAGAGCCAUUCCUGUGACAACUGCUAAGUCCAGGGAGUGGUUGGAGGGCUGACACUUUCCCUCCUAGGGACUUCAGAAGCCCUGUGGUCUGCCAAAGACUGUCCCUGGCCCUCUGUCCAUUCUCCCGAAAGGACUGCCUGCCAGAAGCUUAGAACCAGCAGCCACUAGGGCAGAGGAAGCCUGUGAGUUUGAAAUGCCUCACCACACAUUUGCAACAGCCUUCUUUGCUACUCUUUUUCAUUGCAAAUGUGAAGUAAUCCAUCUGCAUUCUUGCUUCUGUGGUCCUAUUUAUAUCAUUGUUUCUGGAGAAAGUGUGCUCUAUGUUGCAAAAAACAAAAAAAAACCCUGAUAAACAAACAUCUGAAACACAGACUCUUUAAAGAAUAAUGUCUUGUAGCCUCUGGGAAUGCCACCUAUUUACUAAAACAAACAUGUCUCACGCAUCCUAUGCCAGGCUUUGAAACACUGUCAGUGCUUUCAUAAACUGGGUCACUGCGGCUAGUGCUCUGGGAUGUACAAUGACAGGGCAGGAAGUGCCCUUGAAUUACACAGUGAGACCCUCUAAUUCUCUUUCCUUCUGAUUACAACAAGGAGGUUGUUUCAGUUUGGAGCUGAUGGAUUUGAACACCUUUCCAACACUUGCUUGUUACUAUUAUUACUGUUUUAACAGGCCAUAUGUUCAGAGCUUUUUGGCAGGUUUCUGGCUAGAAUUUAAUUUGUUUGCUUUGUUUUUGUUGCAUUUAUUUUUGUAAUUAACUUCUGUUCAUGGCCAUUGAUAUUGGUCUUCCCUUUAUGUUGUGAUCAUGUAUUUUAAAAAAUAAACUGAAGUCAGACAUAAAAGUUCUAUUUAAAGAAAGAAAUAGUUAUGAUGUUGUGCAACGUGGCAAAAGCAUGUUCAAAAAUUUGGGAAACCCAGCGUUCACAUAUUAUAGAGCACCUUGAUAAAGUACUGAAAGCAAACUCAUUAAAACAGUGUUUCUUGCUACCCAUAGGGAACAACUAGGGUUUUUUUUUUAAUUGUUUUUAAUUUAUCAUGACCAAUUGCUGCUGUAAAAUAUAAUAAAAAUGAAUUAUUAUAAACAUUAUCAUGUGCUUGGGUUUAAGGACAAUGUCAUGUUGCUAUAUAAGUUAUUAAAUGCUUACUUUCUGUUUCUGCACUUACCUUGCCACAAAAUUCUUACAACCCCCCACGGACCAGCAUCCCAUCACACUUUGUUAUUUAUUUAUGUAUUUAUUUAUUUAUUUUUUAAGAUGUAGUCUCGCUUUGUCUCCCAGGCUGGAGUGCAGUGGCACCAUCUCAGCUCACUGCAACCUCCGCCUCUUGGGUUCAAGUGAUUCUCCUGCCUCAGCCUCCCGAGUAGCUGGGAUGACUACAGGCACACUCCACCAUGCUGGGCUAAUUUUUUUAUAUGUUUAGUAGAGAUGGGGUUUUGCCAUGUUGGCCAGGCUCUUCUUGAACUCCUGACCUCAGGUGAGCCUCUCACCUUGGCCUCUCAAAGUGCUUGGAUUACAGAUAUGAGCAACUGCUCCUGGUUCCAUCACACUUUGGAAGUAGAAGGUGAGUUCUGCCUAAGCAAAAUCAAGCAAGUUAAUCCUAAAGAUAGUUCAGAGGGAAUACUGGCCUACCCAGGUUGAGAAAGCCCUUCACAGUUGUUUUAUUUUUAGUACCAUCUAGACAUUCUUUCAUUUAUCCAACAGAGAGUAUCUACGAUGUGCAAGAUAUUACACAAAACCCCAGGAGGUAGGGGUUGAGGGGAGUAGAAAAGGAUGACUACAACAAGAGAUAAGUUAAAAAUAAAUUAAUUAAAACCCCAGGAAGCUUAUAAUGUAAUACUGAAGACAGAAUAUAUAUUACAAAGCAAUUGGUUGUCAGGACCCAUGAGUAAGAGUCUAAAUAUAAUAGAAAUGUAAUGUAAUAGAAUCAGUACUGAGCUAAUUCCAUGCACUUCCCUGUUCUCUAAUGCCUCAGAGAG